rnacentral:rRNA from 1 species
AUUGAACGCUGGCGGCAGGCCAAGCACAUGCAAGUCGAGCGGAUGAAGGGAGCUUGCUCCUGGAUUCAGCGGCGGACGGGUGAGUAAUGCCUAGGAAUCUGCCUGGUAGUGGGGGAUAACGUCCGGAAACGGGCGCUAAUACCGCAUACGUCCUGAGGGAGAAAGUGGGGGAUCUUCGGACCUCACGCUAUCAGAUGAGCCUAGGUCGGAUUAGCUAGUUGGUGGGGUAAAGGCCUACCAAGGCGACGAUCCGUAACUGGUCUGAGAGGAUGAUCAGUCACACUGGAACUGAGACACGGUCCAGACUCCUACGGGAGGCAGCAGUGGGGAAUAUUGGACAAUGGGCGAAAGCCUGAUCCAGCCAUGCCGCGUGUGUGAAGAAGGUCUUCGGAUUGUAAAGCACUUUAAGUUGGGAGGAAGGGCAGUAAGUUAAUACCUUGCUGUUUUGACGUUACCAACAGAAUAAGCACCGGCUAACUUCGUG